rnacentral:rRNA from 2 species
UGUGAACUCGAAGAGUAGGGCGGGACACGUGGUAUCCUGUCUGAAUAUGGGGGGACCAUCCUCCAAGGCUAAAUACUCCUGACUGACCGAUAGUGAACCAGUACCGUGAGGGAAAGGCGAAAAGAACCCCGGCGAGGGGAGUGAAAAAGAACCUGAAACCGUGUACGUACAAGCAGUGGGAGCACCUUCGGGUGUGACUGCGUACCUUUUGUAUAAUGGGUCAGCGACUUAUAUUCUGUAGCAAGGUUAACCGUAUAGGGGAGCCGCAGGGAAACCGAGUCUUAACUGGGCGUUAAGUUGCAGGGUAUAGACCCGAAACCCGGUGAUCUAGCCAUGGGCAGGUUGAAGGUUGGGUAACACUAACUGGAGGACCGAACCGACUAAUGUUGAAAAAUUAGCGGAUGACUUGUGGCUGGGGGUGAAAGGCCAAUCAAACCGGGAGAUAGCUGGUUCUCCCCGAAAGCUAUUUAGGUAGCGCCUCGUGAACUCAUCUUCGGGGGUAGAGCACUGUUUCGGCUAGGGGGUCAUCCCGACUUACCAACCCGAUGCAAACUACGAAUACCGAAGAAUGUUAUCACGGGAGACACACGGCGGGUGCUAACGUCCGUCGUGAAGAGGGAAACAACCCAGACCGCCAGCUAAGGUCCCAAAGUCAUGGUUAAGUGGGAAACGAUGUGGGAAGGCACAGACAGCCAGGAUGUUGGCUUAGAAGCAGCCAUCAUUUAAAGAAAGCGUAAUAGCUCACUGGUCGAGUCGGCCUGCGCGGAAGAUGUAACGGGGCUAAACCAUGCACCGAAGCUGCGGCAGCGAC